rnacentral:rRNA from 1 species
AUACGGAGGGAGCGAGCGUUAAUCGGAAUAACUGGGCGUAAAGGGUGUGUAGGCGGUAAUGUAAGUUAGAUGUGAAAUACCUGAGCUUAACUUAGGAAUUGCAUUUGAUACUGCAUAACUAGAGUGUAAGAGAGGAGAGAGGAAUUUCCGGUGUAGCGGUGAAAUGCGUAGAUAUCGGAAGGAACACCAGUUGCGAAGGCGACUCUCUGGCUUGACACUGACGCUGGGACACGAAAGCGUGGGUAGCAAACAGGAUUAGAUACCCCAGUAGUCC